rnacentral:rRNA from 1 species
AGUGGCGAACGGGUGAGUAACACGUGGGCAACCCGCCCAAAAGAGGGGGAUAACACUUGGAAACAGGUGCUAAUACCGCAUAACCAUAGUUACCGCAUGGUAACUAUGUAAAAGGUGGCUAUGCUACCGCUUUUGGAUGGGCCCGCGGCGCAUUAGCUAGUUGGUGGGGUAAAGGCUUACCAAGGCAAUGAUGCGUAGCCGAACUGAGAGGUUGAUCGGCCACAUUGGGACUGAGACACGGCCCAAACUCCUACGGGAGGCAGCAGUAGGGAAUCUUCCACAGUGGGCGAAAGCCUGAUGGAGCAACGCCGCGUGGGUGAAGAAGGUCUUCGGAUCGUAAAACCCUGUUGUUAGAGAAGAAAGUGCGUGAGAGUAACUGUUCACGUUUCGACGGUAUCUAACCAGAAAGCCACGGCUAACUACGUGCCAGCAGCCGCGGUAAUACGUAGGUGGCAAGCGUUAUCCGGAUUUAUUGGGCGUAAAGCGAGCGCAAGCGGUUGCUUAGGUCUGAUGUGAAAGCCUUCGGCUUAACCGAAGAAGUGCAUCGGAAACCGGGCGACUUGAGUGCAGAAGAGGACAGUGGAACUCCAUGUGUAGCGGUGGAAUGCGUAGAUAUAUGGAAGAACACCAGUGGCGAAGGCGGCUGUCUGGUCUGCAACUGACGCUGAGGCUCGAAAGCAUGGGUAGCGAACAGGAUUAAAUACCCUGGUA